GAUAAACGCUGGUGGCGUGCCUAAUACAUGCAAGUCGAACGCUGGAGACCGACUUCGGUUGGUCGAAGGAGUGGCGAACGGGUGAGUAAUACAUAAGCAACCUGCCCACGAAGACCGGGAUAAUCCCUGGAAACGGGGACUAAUACCGGAUAGGCAUUUGAGAGGCAUCUCUUAAAUGUUAAAGAUUAAAAGCACUGGUGGAUGGGCUUAUGGCGCAUUAGCUUGUUGGUGAGGUAACGGCCCACCAAGGCGAUGAUGCGUAGCCGGCCUGAGAGGGUGAACGGCCACAUUGGGACUGAGACACGGCCCAA
rnacentral:rRNA from 1 species